ensembl:lncRNA
AGAGAGAGAGAGAGAGAGAGAGAGAGAGAAUGCAAUGGCAUGUCACUGUACUCAUGGAACACACUCUCUCUCAAGGUGCCACGCUGCAGCGUUUAACUGUAAUCUGAUCUCUGCUUAGCACACACACACUCCCUCCCUCCCUCCCUCCCUCUCUCUUUCUCUUUCACACACACACACACACUCACUCUCUCACAGAUACACGGGACUGCUGGAAUAUGACAAACGCUGUGCAAGCAACUCUAUGCAGGUGCAUGAAGUUGACAAAUAAAACAGUCCAUCAGUGAUGACAGGACUGUGAGGGAUGGGAACCCUGUUCUUUCUUUCUUUCUCUCUCCCACACACAUACACACACACACACACACACACACACACACACACACACACACACACACACACACCUGGCAUUAAGGUGUGCUGUCGCCUCACCCAGGUGGGCGCUACAUAGGAGGGGAGGUGUCUCCUCAGCAUGAGAAGCAGGUUGGGGUCAACACACUUCAGCUGAACACUUGACACUUCAUUCUGUACAAUUCUACAUUCUUACCAAACACACACACACACACACACACACACACACACACACACACACGCACAGCUGUGCCGUCACAUCAUCCACGUCAUCCUCUCUUCAUUCUGUACACCUACACAGUUCUCCCACCACUGCCUGUGUGUGUAUAUGUGUGUGUGUAUACGUGCGUGUGUGUGUGUAUGUGACAGAGGCAAAAGCAUAUGGGUGAAGGUGACCGACUGUGAUCAGGUGUGGCAAAGAGGAAAGGCCUGAUAUCACAUUUCAUAUCAAACACACCCACCCACCCACACCCUCACACACACAAAACAAAAACAAAAGAACACUGAUCUGAACAUGAACACCUGUUCUCACACACACACACACACACACACACACACACACACACACACACACACACACACACACACACACACACACACACACACACACACACACACACACACACACACACACACACACACACACACACCUAUCUUCAUUGAUGACCCCUGGUGAGAGUAGCCAGAACACACACCCACAGAGCUGCUGUGUUUUUGUGUGUGUGUGUGAGUGAAGAGAUUCAGGUCUGUGAUGAGGUUAUUAUGGUCUGUGUGUGUGUGUGUGUGUGUGUGUGUACUGGUGGGAUACCCGGCUUUAGUGGCUUUAGUUUAUAUUUGGGCACACAAACACUCACUCUAAAUAGAGGUGAAAGGGUGAAGUUCUGGGGGGUAUUCGUCGUAGCUCGCUAAGCGGUUUAGCGAGCUAAUUUUCAGGCUAAGAUAAAAAACGCCCCUCUUUUUGGUUCGUGGAAGCAACUUUUGAUAAAUCACCAUAGUUACAUAUCGAUUAGCACUAACCUGCUCCAGGGCAGGCUAACUUAAGUGUAGCUGUAUAAGCUUGCCACACCCCCGGAAAAAGGAGGGAUCCCAUUGACCAAGGACUGAUAGGCCUAUUAGAGUUAGAUUAGCGGAGGGAGAGAGUUCUUUGCGAUCGCCAAGAUCCAUUAUUCUUGUAUGAGCGCUACCGAUUCAGCCGACAAUGAAUCAUUAAUUUGCAAAACCUUCUCGAGUCAUUUAUUGCAAACACCACAGUCGAACAUUGACUGUCUUGCGCUUUUUUGCGAGUGGUACAUUUUUGUAGUGUCGGUGAUGCGGAGAACAAAGCACUCAUAAUUAUAUGAGUGUUAUUAGUACACCAUAGCAUAUCAUUAUUGUAGAAAAUUAUUAAGGUGGACUCAUGAUAAGAAUAGAGAGAAAUACAGACAAUUUAUUUUCACUGCUUCAAUUUAUUGCAUUUGUUAUUAAUACAUUUAGUCAUUUUACAGACGCUUUUAUUCAAAGCGACUUCCAAGGAAAUGUAAAACUACAUCGAGGAAGGAGGUGAGGGGAUUUGAACUAGCAACCAUGCAGAUUCAAACCGGUAGAGGAAACCUCUGCACCAGUGGACACUUGCCGUCAGAUAUUCAUACAUAGAUAUCACCCUAUAAAGAUCCCAACACACCUUGCUCUCACAGCGGUGGUGGUGUUGAAUUUUGCCAUGAUUAUGGUCUUGUAUUCUUCAUAAGCGUUCAUGUUCAUCUCCUACUCACCAGCGGAGAAAAAAAGAGCCCUUUUCUUUGAGUUUAGAACCAUUAUACCGUUAGAAAAUCAUGGUUUUGGUGAUCGACCUUUCCUGCCUUUUGAAGUAGGACGUGCAUGCGCAAAUGCCAUGAUAACUUUAGCCUGGUUGAAAUUAACCACAUGAUUAGGAUGCGGAUCAGCCGUUAACAAACCGAUAUUUGCUGUUCUCAAUCAGCUCGCUAAUCUUAACGGGCUAAAAGGCCAAUUGAUUAACUUAGCUUCAAUCCUACGACGAACGUACCCCUGGUGACUCCAACAGAUCUGCCUCUGACUUUAGACAGCUAUAACAAACCAUUGCCCCCAUUUCAGCUGAAAAACAGCAGGGCAUGGGCUCAAAAGAGUUAGAACAUGCCUGACAUUUUGGAUAGGUCAGGAGUCAGUUUUCCUGUUAGAACCAAUGAUUUUGCCAUUUCUACACUACAAAACAAUCCAGGGAUAGCAGUGUACACACACACACACACACUCUCAUGUAAAAAGAGGUGUAUCCGGAGUGGAACACUCCCGGAUAUUCCACAGAUAAUCGGAUGUAUACAAGAGUUUGCCGUUACGCAGAUCAGAAUACUCCUGGAUAUGUAUCAGGUUUGGGGGCCUGCCUACAGCCAUUAGUUGCCAUGGUGAAUAGGUGAAUAAUACCCUGGGGGGGGGGGGGUGCUUGCUAGGGAACAUUUGCAAUUCACACACUCCUCUAGCUCCCUCCCUCUGCAUCCCUCUUUCUCUCACCCUUUCAGUCAGACACGGGUGGUGGGCAGCAGUCUCCAGUGUUGACAGUGAAUCUGGGUGAAUCGCAUUAAAACCCUUUAAAUAACCUUCAUUUGCAAUCUAUUUCUGGGUAGACUGGACACGCCAAGCAGACCACACAUACACCCCGGGGACCAGUGGCCAAAAGACAGGCGGUCAACAGGAGCCCGGGAGGGACAUGCAGAACGGGGGCCAGUGACAAACCCCAAACACAGGACGAUUUGUUAAAAGGGUAGUCAGGGUGUUCCCUGAGAUCUCCAAACCAUGAGGAUGGCACUGAUGCUUAUAACCCAUGACGUCUAAGUCUAUAAGAGGCCAAAUCCAGGUCAAGAGGGCACAGCAGGUGAAUUGCCUAGCCAGUGACUGUAGAAGAAUUGUGUUGUUGACCCAAUGGAUCCAUAUUAAAGGUCCAGUCCUCGAAUUCUGGCAAACGGCUGUUCAGGUUUCAGCUCAGGGUUUGUUGACCCUGUAUAGUUGGUACUAUUUGAAAUCAUUUAGGGUUUGUGGACACUGUAUAGUUGACCCUAUAGUAGUUUCUUUGGGGGGUAGGUGACAUAUGUAUCCCCCAAAGCAAACCAUGUGUACAAUGCCGUUUUUCAUCGCCAUUUUUUUUUAAACGUCACCCAAUUUCACUGGUUACUGUUACAGGGUCACUGUUCAAAGGAGUAGGACAAGGCCCUCUAAUCUUCAUUUUGACCCAUGCACACACAUUCAAACACACACACACACACAACUUUUGUAUGAAAGAAUAUUUGUUUUCCCCCAUACACCCUUAAAGGAGAUAUCCUCCCCUAUGGGACUGCUUUAUAACACACUGUUCUGUUUCUCGAAAGCCUGCAAACAAAGACAAACAAAAAAACACAUACUUUCCUAUUAUCUGAGGGUGCAUUUUCUCUCACGGUGCCUCUCCCCUUCCCCACCCACUCCAUGUCCCUCUCUCUCUCUCACACACACACUCUCACAGGAAUCUCCUUCCCUCCACCCCUAACACUCAUGCAUGCAUGCAUGCACGCACGCGCGCGCACACACACACACACAGUUUAUUUAACGAUAGGGGAUUCCAUGGCAAUCUGAUCUUUGGUCACCCUUCUAGCAGAGUAAAACAGUUACUUCCGCACAGUUGACGGCAGAACGGUAAACAUCCUGCAUGCAAGCACUUUCAACAGCAAACCACCGGCCGCGACAGGACUUCUGUAACACUUCCGAUAACGGAAUAGAGUCUAUUGAAAACUUACACCUUUUCCAAACUCCCGUACCCGAAAUUGCUGCUUUCACUUCAGGUGUCGACACCUUUGACAUUCCGUGGUAUGACAGGGAAACGGAUUCAUUCUCCGUUCCCGAUGGGUCGCUAAGCGUUCAAGGCGAUAAACCGGGACAACCCGCAAGGGAUUAGCCUACCGACAGGCAGGCCAGUCCAGUCAGCCUUUACACCGGACGUCUCCAUCGAAACAAGGUUGUUAAUUAACUGUAUGCCCGUUUGUGUAAUGAAACUAGCACAACAAACGUUCCAAUGGCCUGUUUCUUCCCCCUCCACGCCGCUUUUUCAUUACUCAACAUUCUGUUAUGACAAUAUGUAAAUCUUACGACACCAAAAGACCAUUUCAUCUUUGAGCAACCAAAUUAUGCUACUACCAGCCUCCAAACGGACACAGGCAUAGCCUGCAAGUCAAAAUAAACGACCAAAAAUGCACCUGUGCAGGCAUCCGUAAAACCGCGGCAGACAUUGACAGAGCAGGUUGUAAUACACCUGCCGAUUAGACAUUUGUAAAAGAUAGAUCUAACCUAAACUACCAACAGGUGUCAGUGUCUGUAACUUUCAAAAGUAGCAGUGCUGUAAAGACCACCGCUGCCAAUUCAAAUGUUGGGAAUGAUUGAACUUGAAAUGUUCAUAAACCGGCUGCCGUGGCCAGUCGUUGAUAGUUAAUCCCAUUCCCGUGACUCGGCGGUCACUGCUUCCAGUCAUUAUUCCCUGUUGACACGUUCAAUCGCAAACUAUGACGUGCUCAUUCUCACGCGUGGCAAAACUGUUAAUAUCGGCUACUUUCUCAAACGAUCCACCACGGAGCAAAUGUCUAUUUUAAAAUUCGUCCGCCGAAACUUUUUACCUUGGGUCGCGCUGGUAGACGCGUCGCUUCCAUCCUGAUCCGCCAUUGCUCCUGACGUCAGCUGAGAGGAUUAGCUGUGUGAGGCCACUGGGCAUAAAAAAAAUGUGUGGGAAAAGAGAGCCUCACGCCUGGUGGACAGGUGGGGUAGGUUAGCGACUCCACCUGCUAGAGAUAAAGCCAGGCUACUAGGACAAGUCUCUCAGCCUUUGGCCACACUGCUUACCUCACCGCUUAACGUUACCUGUGCGUAACGGCUACCUCGCUUAACUUCUGCGGCUUGCACGCCUGUCUAUAUUUGUCUAUGUUACUGUUUCCUUUGCUGAGAACCUAACCUGUUAACUUGGGCGUCGAAAUGAAAAGCAAGACGCCCAGCGACCGUCACGCACAGGUGAGGUGAGCGGUGUGGCACGGGCCUCAUACGUCGCUUUGCCACAGGUCUGUGCAGCCUGCUCAUUUGAACCCAGUGAUAGCUAAGAGCUACCUACAUCAAAGGCUCCUAAUGUUAUUAUAGGUGACUGACAACAUGGAAAGGACCCCUACAGAGACAGACCUGUGUCUGAACCAUGGAAAGGACCCCUACAGAGACAGACCUGUGUCUGAACCAUGGAAAGGACCCCUACAGAGACAGACCUGUGUCUGAACCAUGGAAAGGACCCCUACAGAGACAGACCUGUGUCUGAACCUGUACAAUAUGGUUGAGGCGUGAUAAGGCCUGCUGCUGAGACAGCAUGAGAGGCAGACAGGACAGGCAGAUUCAAACACUCUAACCACUCUCAAUCUGACAAACUCUAAUACUAAUAAAGAUAAUAAUAAUGCUACUCCUCCUCCUCCUCCUCCUACUAUUACUACUACU